GACGAACGCUGGCGGCGUGCCUAACACAUGCAAGUCGAACGAGAAAGGGGCUUCGGCUCCGAGUAAAGUGGCGCACGGGUGAGUAACACGUGGGUAACCGCCUCUAAGAUUGGGAUAACUCGUCGAAAGAUGAGCUAAUACCGGAUAAGACCACAGUUCCCGCGGGAACAGGGGUCAAAGGUAGCCUCUGCUUGCAAGCUAUCACUUAGAGAUGGGCCUGCGCACCAUUAGCUAGUUGGUAGGGUAACGGCCUACCAAGGCAAAGAUGGUUAGCUGGUCGGAGAGGAUGAUCAGCCAAACUGGAACUGAGAGACGGUCCAGACUCCUACGGGAGGCAGCAGUGGGGAAUAUUGCGCAAUGGGCGAAAGCUUGACGCAGCAACGCCGCGUGAGUGAUGAAGGCCUUCGGGUCGUAAAGCUCUGUCGGGAGGAACGAAUGCUCCCAAGGUUAACAGCCUCGGGAGGUGACGGUACCUUCAAAGGAAGCACCGGCUAACUCUGUGCCAGCAGCCGCCGUAACAC
rnacentral:rRNA from 1 species